AAGAACUAAAACAAUCAAAAGCCCAAAUGAAUUGCAAAUAAAUGUCAAAACCAUCAUUUCAAGUGUAUGAUUUACCUUCGACUGCGCAUUCCACAAUCCACAAACCCGAAAGACGCCCUUGUUCCUAUGUUUUUCGGCCUGCUUGACACCUGGUGGGAAAUAUUUUGGUGUAACGCCAUGACAACACACAUGUCCAAUCUUGACGAGAAAACCUUCCAUCUGUUCAAUCCCUCUCCUUCCUCUCUUCUAUCCAUAGAAUUUUUUUAUAUUUUAUUUUUUUAACGAAGUGAUUUAUUUUAUUGCUACAACUAAUGACGUUUUUUAAAAUGAAGUAAUGCUAAUAAAAUUUAGUUUGCUGUACAAUUUUGUUUCUAAUAUUAAUAACUCAAAGCAGAAGUAUGUUUUUUUUCUUUUUGCCUGAUAUCAUUAACUCAAAGAAGAAAUAUGUUUUUUUUUUCUUUGAUCAACUUGCAUGAAUGGAUUUAUAAUUGACUAAUCCUUCUUCAAAGAACAUAUCAAGGAAGAACACAAACUUAAUCUCAUGUACAAAAGUACUCUUUUGGCA
rnacentral:lncRNA from 1 species